rnacentral:lncRNA from 1 species
GAAGAUUCUUUCCCCUGAAUUGAGUAUUCAGCAAGGUUAUCCAUCCUCAUUAAUAGCACUCCUCCCAAGGGGGUACGUUUGGUUUCUGCCUGACACUAGACAGUGAAGACACGUUUUGAUUCCUGUAAUGACAGUUCCCCAACACAGGUUAUUUUUCCCUCAAGCUCCUUUCAGUAUGAGAUGUUGAACAUCAACCACUUUGUGAUAAGUGAACCACUCUCUCUAAAUUGUUUUUGUUUGGUUGCUUAAGUGUUUUCUACCAGGAGUUGAAAAAAAAAGGAAACAUGUUACUUUUGUAAAGGCAAAUUAGACAAGUUAGACAUAAUUAGGUUAAUUUCUCUCACAAGGGAAAUUUGACCGGGAAAUUUUGGAAAGCUAGUUUUUA